GGCGGCAUAGCUCAGUUGGCUAGAGCAUUCGGUUCAUACCCGAAGCGUCAUUGGUUCGACUCCAAUUGCCGCUACCA
rnacentral:tRNA from 1 species